rnacentral:lncRNA from 1 species
AGUUUUAAGACUGGAAGAUCCUGAGGAAAGUCACUGCUCCCUGCCCUGGGUUCCCAUCCAGGCCACUUUAGAGGCAAGGCUGUACUGCUGAGAAGAGAUUCUAAAUCCAGCUGGAAAAUGUCCCUCAGCAGGACCCACAGAGGAUAACAUUGAAAAAGGCAGUUUGACCUCCAGGUGGAGAGGGACAAGGCCUACUGUGUGAAGAAGAUGGUGGCCUCAUUCCCCUGCAGCUACCAGCUCCACAAGACAGGUGGCCGUCGCAGGCCUCUACCCCAACCUGGCCCAUCGGAGAUCCUGGCUCUGUAGGCAGAGCAGAGGACCAAGCCUUGCUCUCUGGCCACUCCAGCUCCUUAGGGGAAGUAGGUGUGUGUCUCCUCGAGAGGGUCUAAGCCAUAUCUCACUUCUCCACUGUCUUUCUCCAGGACAGUGUCCCCAAGAUGUACGUCUCAGCCAGGACCCCCAGAGCAGCCAGAAAAAGAGAUUGAGAGAAGCACACAGCCCCUCCCCAAGAUCCAGCACCCCCAUAUCACAGAAGGCUGCAGCUGUGGUUCUGUGGAGGAAAAGCAGGGCCCGAGAGUCCAGUCUCUCCUGGCAGUCAGUGCCCUUCCUGGGAUUCAAGAGAGAAACUUCCUUUUCCACAGUCUAAUGUGUAAGAUGUCAGCCACCACACCUGGCCUGCCACACUUCCUUGAUGCUAUUGACAUUUAUAAUAGCAAGCAGGUUUUCUCCCUUUGGGUCCGGAGAUCAGAGUUCUUUGUUGGGAUUGAAAGCAUGAACGUGUCAUUUGAUGGGGCUUUGGACAGUGGUCAUGACGUGAAGAAUUAGGAAGCCAUAGGCUGGGAGGCAAGCCCAGGGACAUGACCUGCAGAGGAAGGCCCAUGCACCUGCCACCAGGCAUCGAAGACCUCAAGGCCAUUCUCCGGUGAACCCAGGGGUGACAGACUGAACAGUGAAUUGCCAAGACCGAGGGCUGAUCUGCUCUACAGAUGUCUCCUGCAGACUCCAAAGCAUUCUAUAACCUAUUCUAACCACGGCUCUGUGCGGGCUGUGGUGCUUCUGUGCCCUCUGCCCCUGGCACAGCAUGAGGCCGGCAGCUGAUUCAGCGCAUUGUCUGGAGACCCAGCAUGGUGCCAUCUCUGCUGACUUUCAUCUCUAUUGGCUAAGAAUCCUUGCCAACAGGGCCUCUGAAAUGAGGGAGGCACACACGGAUCUGCCCGGGAACGUGUGCUACAAGGUUAAGCGUGUUUGCCCAGGCGAGGUCCGGAGUUCAAAUCCCAGCAACCACAUGGUGGCUCACAACCAUCUGUAAUGAGAUCUGACUCCCUCUUCUGGAGUGUCUGAAGACAGCUACAGUGUUCUUACAUGUAAUAAUAAAUAAAUCUUUAAAAAAAAAAAAAAGAAAAUUACCUUACUGGCAACCCUCGUACUAGCUACCUGACACCCAUAGGCACAAAUGAAUAAAAUAAAAUAUGCUUCAGAUAUAUUGAGUAAAA